AACGAACGCUGGCGGCAUGCCUAACACAUGCAAGUCGAACGAAGGCUUCGGCCUUAGUGGCGCACGGGUGAGUAACGCGUGGGAAACUGCCUAUUGGUGGGGAAUAACGACGGGAAACUGUCGCUAAUACCGCAUAAGCCCUUCGGGGGAAAGAUUUAUCGCCGAUAGAUGUGCCCGCGUCCGAUUAGCUAGUUGGUGAGGUAAUGGCUCACCAAGGCGACGAUCGGUAGCUGGUCUGAGAGGAUGAUCAGCCACACUGGGACUGAGACACGGCCCAGACUCCUACGGGAGGCAGCAGUGGGGAAUAUUGGACAAUGGGCGAAAGCCUGAUCCAGCAAUGCCGCGUGAGUGAUGAAGGCCUUAGGGUUGUAAAGCUCUUUCGGGUGGGACGAUGAUGACGGUACCACCAGAAGAAGCCCCGGCUAACUUCGUGCCAGCAGCCGCCGCCG
rnacentral:rRNA from 1 species